GAUGAACGCUGGCGGCGUGCCUAAUACAUGCAAGUCGAGCGAACAGACGAGAGUGCUUGCACUCUCUGACGUUAGCGGCGGACGGGUGAGUAACACGUGGGUAACCUACCUAUAAGACUGGGAUAACUUCGGGAAACCGGAGCUAAUACCGGAUAAUAUUUAGCUUCGCAUGAAGCAAUAGUGAAAGACGGUUCUGCUGUCACUUAUAGAUGGACCCGCGGUGUAUUAGCUAGUUGGUGAGGUAACGGCUCACCAAGGCAACGAUACAUAGCCGACCUGAGAGGGUGAUCGGCCACACUGGGACUGAGACACGGCCCAGACUCCUACGGGAGGCAGCAGUAGGGAAUCUUCCGCAAUGGACGGAAGUCUGACGGAGCAAUGCCGCGUGAGUGAAGAAGGUUUUCGGAUCGUAAAACUCUGUUGUAAGGGAAGAACAAGUACGUCAGUAACUGAACGUACCUUGACGGUACCUUACCAGAAAGCCACGGCUAACUACGUG
rnacentral:rRNA from 1 species